AGCGAACGCUGGCGGCAUGCCUAACACAUGCAAGUCGCACGGGGGGGCUUCGGCCUCCCAGUGGCGGACGGGUGAGGAACGCGUAGGGACCUGUCCAGGGGUGGGGGAUAACCGCGGGAAACUGCGGCUAAUACCGCAUGACGCCGCGGCGUGACAGCCGGGGCCAAAGGCGAAAGCCGCCCGCCGAGGGGCCUGCGUCCGAUUAGCUGGUUGGCGGGGUAGCGGCCCACCAAGGCGUCGAUCGGUAGCUGGUCUGAGAGGGUGAUCAGCCACACCGGGACUGAGACACGGCCCGGACUCCUACGGGAGGCAGCAGUGGGGAAUAUUGGACAAUGGGCGCAAGCCUGAUCCAGCAAUGCCGCGUGGGUGAAGAAGGUCUUCGGAUUGUAAAGCCCUUUCGGCGGGGACGAUGGUGACGGUACCCGCAGAAGAAGCCCCGGCUAACUUCGUG
rnacentral:rRNA from 1 species